CAAUAGCGUAUAUUAAAGUUGUUGCAGUUAAAAAGCUCGUAGUUAGAUUUCUGGUAGGAGUGACCGUUCCGAACUUGAUUGUUCGUGUAUUGUGUUUUCUCCAGCCAUCCUUGUGGAGAACUUUUCUUGCAUUAAUUUGUAGGGAUUGGGACCCGCAUCGUUUACUGUGAAAAAAUUAGAGUGUUUAAAGCAGGCAAUCGCUUGAAUACAUUAGCAUGGAAUAAUAAGAUAGGACUUUGGUACUAUUUUGUUGGUUUGCAUACCAAAUUAAUGAUCAACAGGAACAGUUUGAGGAUAUUCGUAUGAACAUGUCAGAGGUGAAAUUCUUGGAUUUUGAUCAGACGAACUACUGCGAAAGCAUUUAUCAAGGAUGUUUUCAUUAA
rnacentral:rRNA from 1 species